rnacentral:rRNA from 1 species
AGAGUUUGAUCAUGGCUCAGAUUGAACGCUGGCGGCAGGCUUAACACAUGCAAGUCGAACGGUAACAGGAAGAAAGCUUGCUUUCUUUGCUGACGAGUGGCGGACGGGUGAGUAAUGCUUGGGAAUCUGGCUUAUGGAGGGGGAUAACUACGGGAAACUGUAGCUAAUACCGCGUAGUAUCGGAAGAUGAAAGUGUGGGACCGCAAGGCCACAUGCCAUGAGAUGAGCCCAAGUGGGAUUAGGUAGUUGGUUAGGUAAAGGCUGACCAAGCCGACGAUCUCUAGCUGGUCUGAGAGGAUGACCAGCCACACUGGAACUGAGACACGGUCCAGACUCCUACGGGAGGCAGCAGUGGGGAAUAUUGCACAAUGGGGGGAACCCUGAUGCAGCCAUGCCGCGUGAAUGAAGAAGGCCUUCGGGUUGUAAAGUUCUUUCGGUGAUGAGGAAGGUGUUUGUUUUAAUAGAACAAACAAUUGACGUUAGUCACAGAAGAAGCACCGGCUAACUCCGUGCCAGCAGCCGCGGUAAUACGGAGGGUGCGAGCGUUAAUCGGAAUAACUGGGCGUAAAGGGCACGCAGGCGGUGACUUAAGUGAGAUGUGAAAGCCCCGAGCUUAACUUGGGAAUUGCAUUUCAUACUGGGUCGCUAGAGUACUUUAGGGAGGGGUGGAAUUCCACGUGUAGCGGUGAAAUGCGUAGAGAUGUGGAGGAAUACCGAAGGCGAAGGCAGCCCCUUGGGAAUGUACUGACGCUCAUGUGCGAAAGCGUGGGGAGCAAACAGGAUUAGAUACCCUGGUAGUCCACGCUGUAAACGCUGUCGAUUUGGGGAUUGGGCUUUGAGCUUGGUGCCCGUAGCU